rnacentral:misc_RNA from 1 species
GAUGAAGAACGUAGUGAAAUGCGAUAAGUAAUGCGAAUUGCAGAAUUUCCGUGAGUCAUCGAAUCUUUGAACGCACAUUGCGCCCACUGGUAUUCCGGUGGGCAUGCCUGUUCGAGCGUCAUUAUCCUCCCUCAAAACUCCUGUUUUGGUGUUGGGCCGCGUUGGUCACCUCCGACCAACGGGCCUUAAAGACAAUGACGGCGUCCGUGGGACCCUCUUCGCAGUGAGCUUUUGUUAGCGCGCGUUGAGUUUAAAGGACCUUCCGGGCCGGCCACCUUUUAUCUAUUUUACAAGGUUGACCUCGGAUCAGGUAGGAAUACCCGCUGAACUUAAGCAUAUCAAUAAGCGGAGGA